rnacentral:rRNA from 1 species
AGCGAACGCUGGCGGCAGGCCUAACACAUGCAAGUCGAGCGCCCAGCAAUGGGAGCGGCAGACGGGUGAGUAACGCGUGGGGAUCGGCCCAAUGGUACGGAAUAACCCAGGGAAACUUGGAUUAAUACCGUAUGUGCCCUUCGGGGGAAAGAUUUAUCGCCAUUGGAUGAACCCGCGUCGGAUUAGCUAGUUGGUGUGGUAAAGGCGCACCAAGGCGACGAUCCGUAGCUGGUCUGAGAGGAUGAUCAGCCACACUGGGACUGAGACACGGCCCAGACUCCUACGGGAGGCAGCAGUGGGGAAGAUUGGACAAUGGGCGCAAGCCUGAUCCAGCCAUGCCGCGUGUGUGAUGAAGGCCUUAGGGUUGUAAAGCACUUUCGCCGGUGAAGAUAAUGACGGUAACCGGAGAAGAAGCCCCGGCUAACUUCGUGUCAGCAGCCGCCGUAAGAC